ensembl:lncRNA
CAAUAGUUGCGGCUUAGUUGGAUCUUCCUGGAUCAGGAAUCAAAUCCAUGUCUCUUGCAUUGGCAAGUGGAUUCUUGACCACUGAGUCACCAGAGAAGCCCUGACCCUGGCAUUUGAUCCAAGUUCUUGUUGUUUUUCAAAUAACACUCAUGCUAUUAGCAGGCAGUUCUGUAGUCAGAGGGCAGGUGGGCUCCAGCAGGGUCUGUGCUCAGGGUAUCACCAGGGUGAACUCCAAACGUUGGCUGGACUUAGCUCAAGGCUCAGGGGUAAAGUUGCUUCCUGGAUCAUUCAGGUUAUUGGCAAAAUUCAGGUCCUGUGGUUAUAGGACUGAAGUUUCCAUUUUCUUGUUGGAAGUCAGGACCUGCCCUCAGAGUCUAGAGGCCACUCACAUUUAUUAUCAGGUGGUCCCCUCCAUCUCACAUCAGGAAAUCUUAAAUCUUUCUCACGUUGAAUCCUUCUGCCUUCAUCCUCCGCCAACAGUUGGAGCAAACUUCCACUGAGUUCAACAACUGGCCCACAUUCUCUUUAUUGAGAUGAAUCUAUUGAUCAUGAGCUUGGAUGCUGGAGUAAUGUCAAACGGCUAUAGAAUUUUCUAGUGGCUUACUGUUAAUUUCUGUACCUAACUCUUUGAGAACAAAAUAUAUUUGUUCUUCAUCUUUGGUUCUGGCACAGAGCUCCUAAAACCCUUGAAGUAUACUAAGUGAUGAGAGAGAUAAAGGUUUCUGUUACCUUAAAAAGAUGACUUUUGGAAAGCCAUUAGGUAACCCAAGAAUGCAGACUGCUUUCCAGGAGAAUAAAGCACGUGAUUAGAGGAGUAGACUUUAAGUCCCACCCUUGACCUCUGGGGAAGGGAGAAGUCUAAAGAUUGAUUUCAAUCACCAAUAGCCAAUAAUUUAAUCAAUUGUGCAUCUGUGAUGAAGCCUCCAUAAAAAUCCAGAAGGACAAGGUUCAAAGAGCUUCCAGGCGGUGAGCAUGUGGAGAUUUGGGGAAAAUGGGAAGCUCUGUGUCUCUUCCUGCGUACCCCUCCCUGUGCAUCUCUUCCAUCUGGCUGCUCCUGAGUUAUAUCCUUUAAUGAUAAACUGGUGAUCUAGCAGGAGCGGCUUCCAGGCCUGACACCCCAGCCUUGCAGGCUCAGAGCCCACUCUCCAUUCUGGCUCCAGCUCCUCUUCCUUCCUGACUUGAAAGCCAGUUGCCACAGGAUUGGAAGCCUAGGAGCCCAAACACACCUGCCUGUGCAAGCCACCGGGAGCCUGGUUCUCCACCCCUGUACUUCCAAAAAUGAGCCGGGGGAAGAAAAAGUGCCCACAUUCCUUUCCAAAGCUUGAAGCAUCAUGAACUCGAACGGAGGAAAUUUUAGAAAGAGGAAUGUCACUACUCAAAGAAAUCAUAGUACUUAUUUUAUUUCUUUUAAGAA